GGUUCGUACAUCCUUUUCUGGAUUUGUAUGUUUUCUUUACAUUCAAUUUCUGCAUGUUUGGGUUUGCGCCUGGUGAGGUUAACUAGGAAUGUAACUUGUAAAGGUUUAUUUAUGUGUUUUAUUCAUUCGAAAUUAUGUGUUUUAUUCAUUCGAAAUACGGUCCGAGGACCGAAUAUCAUCAAGGACAAGAUUAGUAAUUCAUUGGAGGGCAGCACCCCCGCAAUUUUCCAAUCGAGUGCCCGAUAGGAAAUGCCUAGCCAACGAGUGGGCUACCCUAUUACAAGAACGAGUAACAUGCGUAAAAAUACAAGAAGAAAAUGACACCAUAAGCUCUAAACAAUCAGAAAUUAUAGAGCUACAAUAAAAAAAAGUCUGGUUUUGUACUUGAUGUGGUUACUAUGUGAAGGGUUUUGUAUGUCUAUCUACCUACAUUGAGUGGAUAGGUCAUUAAGAUACAUUUGACUCAGUUUGUCUUCUUACUGUGUGCUCUGUGGCCAUGGUUUCAUUUGCUUUGAAAAUAUCACUGGAUUAUGACAAUAUCUGCUAUUUUCCCGAAUGAUAUAUUCUUUGUUCUUGUAAUUAUUCUCAGAUAAUUAGUGCUUGGUCACAAAUUUCUCUUUGAAGUUGGCCAAGAACAUCCAUCUCUCUCAUUUUCGUCAUUCAUUGUAUUUCUUCAUUGAAGUCAAAAUGUCCGGUGCCCCGAUUUCCACGCUCCCGCCCUAAGCCUUAUCCUCGCCUUCAUCCGAACGUCCAACUUCACCACCCACUAGAUCUCUCCCUCUUCAAAUCCCUUGCCACGUCUUGAGCCACGAGAUUCAACUUGAAGAUAGGACACAACUUCAACUUGAUAAGUUUAUAGGAAGUUUCAAUUGAACACCAGUGUUUAGGCAUGUGCAUUUGUUGUUGUUAUGAUUACUACUACUACUACACUACUACAACUGCUACUAUUAUUUUUGAUAUUACAAUUAUUAUAAUUUCCUCUGUUACUGAUUAUUAUUAUCUUCUUCUUUGCUUCCCUUCCUUUUUGUUUUGGACCUCUGCCAACUCCCCUAAUGCAGAUGAUCGGAGAAGCUUCUUUGCAGUCACUUUUUGGGUGUUUUAUAUUUUUUCAGAUUUGUGAUUUCUUUUGUUUUAACAAGGUGGUGAAACGAUUGUGAAAACUUGGAUGGAGGAGAAUUUGGUCCCUGAUCUACGUGACAUGUGCGCAAAGGUUAUGUGGGCAGUGAAGACUGUGGAAUGCAGUUACCGGGGGCUGCUAGAAUGAGGCUGUGCGGCAUUAUUUUUCUUGACCAGGUUGAGAAGGCCCAUGCAUCUGGUUGCCUCGUUGACCACACUUCUGAUAACAGAAAGCAGCAGAGUGCCAUGAAACAGGGAUGUAGAUGGACAUGCUUUCGUACUGUUAUACUGUGGAGAUUGACACCGUUUCCAUAUUGUUCAAUUUGAUAGGAAGUGAGGGGGGGUUUUCAGGUGGGAGUUGCUAACUCGGGUGAAUGAGUUGGUGUUAUGUAAUCCUUUCGCUGCUCGUGACGAUCAAUUGAGGAAAGUUAGCAGGAUAUCAAUGAGGUCUGGUCCUCUGGUUUUUUCGGUUUCCUGUUUUCAUUAUUCCAGCCGGCUAAGGAUUCAGAGGACUCCGGACCUGAAAAAGAGGCAUGGAAAUUCAAGACAGCGGUCACAGAAAUAUUGAGGGCGGUCAUUGCGUAUGGAAGCUGCGGCUGCUGGAGUUGAGCAUGCAGUGCAGGGAAGUGCUAUUGUUAAAGUAGCAUGAAUACUCAAAAUGUUGGAACUGCUUAGGUUGUAAAGAAAUCCAUCUGGAUUUGGUUGUUUUGUUGGAUUUGCUUUUUCUUUUGAGGAGGACAUGAUGAAUGCUUUUCUUCUCCAGAAAGAAACUGGUGCUUAUGCAGCUGCUACAGGUGUAGAAGCUCAACUAUGGCAAUUCUUACUUCUUGGGCAGUUGUUGUUAGGACUCUUUUGUCUCUAGAAGUUUGUCGCGCAAAGGGUUGUCCGCUGCCCAGUCUUCAAAAUGAAUACUCUUCCAGUGAAAAUUAUAGACA